GGACGAGGCGCAGUGCGGGCCCGGCUCCUUCUAGGGAGAAACGAUGUACAGGAAAUUACGUUCCGCAGCGCCAGAAUGAAGGAGCAGCUCGUGCCCUGCACUACAAGGAGUGGGCGGGUUGGAGAGCACCUACUCGAAUUUCAAGCAAGAGAACAUUAAAACUUCAUGGAUUAGAACACCAGGACAGUGCUGCACUAGUGAGACUUCCAGCUACAAGAAGGAAACGUGAUGGAAGGGAGCAGGCAUACCCCAAAGGACUGCUUUCCAAGCACAGGAUGGGCUGAGAAAUCUUUCUUUGUAACUUCCUGCCUCUUCUCUCCCUCAUCACCACUCCCAGGAGCAUUUCCAGCUCUCCAAAACUCCCUUGGUCUUUACUGCGGAGGGGGGAAUGAGAAUUGAAUCAACUCCAGCACGUGGGAUCCUUUUAAGAAGAGGCAAGAGGACUGUGUGUGAUCCAAGUGUUCAAAAUCCAUGACACAAAUCCUCAGAAAUGGUGAAACUGCCUUUGUUAUCACCAGAGUCUAUGGGUGCUUUAGACAAAGCUUGUUUCCUCUCCCUUUUGGGAAGAGCUGUACUCACAUUGUAGGAAACAACUUCACCACUCUGCUUUGGAGGCCCUUGCUGUUGUACCAGCAUACAUGUGUGCUUGCAGCCACCACAUGCAGACAGACCCUCAGCGUCCCUCUGUCCUCUGACAGUGUCAGUUCCAUGUGGAUAGCUGGGUCCAGACUUCAAGCCUAGGUCAUACAGGAAAAAGUGGCAAAUGAUGCAGCUGACUCCAGCCUGGGUUGCCCUGGACAAGACCUGGCAUUGUUUUAGACACUGUGAUACAGCAAAGCAUCUGCAAAGGAGGAAAACAGCUCUUGCUGUACAGCAUGGCAGCUUUGGAUAGCUUGAAGCCUGAUGUGUCACAGCACAGCUUGGAGAUGAGAUGUGCCACUGUUAUGGAGCUUGAGGUCUGUCUAUCCGGGCCCAGGAAGAUGGAUGGGCUUGCAGUGUUGUUUGAAAGCUGCACCGACCUCAAGAAGGAGCCCUGAAUGUGGUGCCAGCACAACAGCAGACGGCAGGGGAGGAAAUCGAGGCAAGCACCUCUGAUGCACUUGUGGAUGACUGAUGCUGCCAUUUCUUAUUUUUAUCCUGAUUCACCACUCCUGAGGAUUUGAGCUAAGUUCUCCUUUUAUUUUCAAAAGGAACGUUCGGCAGGUUAAAAUUCAGCAUCACAAGCUGGCCUUGAGAUGGGGUUUGCUCUGGCUUCCCUGCUGAGCCGCUGCGCACAAAUUGUUUCUAAAACACAGCUCAGGCACUGCUAGCUGCUGUGCUGUCACGGGGGCUGAUCCAGCACAGAACCUGCUUGGCACUCGUGAAGAGAAAUUACCCAGUGCUGCAACUCACAAUUUAUAAUUGAUUGCAUAUUAAUAUCCAAAAAAGGAAAUAAAAUCCACUCUGUGUUUUUACAAAAGAAAAAAAAAAAAGUACUAUAAUCCAAGCAGUGAAAAUCUGGAGUACUCCUCGGCUGGCGCCGAGCUGUGCGCAGUGCUGUUUCUCCCUUCAUUACAAGCAGUUUAAAACCAUCUCCUUCCUUCAAAGGAGGAUUUUGUUCGGUGUUUGCAUUAAUUUGAAUCUCACGAACAUGACGCUCUCUUGGAACGUGCCCUCGUGCCGUAACAGCGAGACGUGCUGCCGCUUUUGUCCCUGCCACUUGGGAAAGGUGCAGCUCCUGCUGCUUGUCCCUGCGGCCAUGGGGCUGUUACUAUCAGUACACCGCCCUUUAAAGGGAAAGAAAACAGAACAAAACCCAACAGCAGCAUUUUUCCCCCCAAAGAGUUCCCUUUUACUUGUAGUGUUUAAGCCAGGCUGUGCAAGCGCUUCCUGAAAAUGAGCGAUUUAAAAUGUACAGCACUGCAUUGUAGCGGAAAGCUUGUUAUUCAGCAUACUAAUUAUUUCUGACUCCCUGUAUUUAUGAAAUGCCAUGUAGUAACUAGCUCACCACAAUGCAAAUAGUGCAAAAUCAGUGCCUUUUAUCAUUUUGGCACUUUAGUGCAUAAACAUAUUCUAGAGUCUCUUGGGGGAAGGUGGGAGAGGGGGAGGAGGGGAGUUCCUGGGAAUGAAAUAAUGCUUUUAUGACUUCUAAAGUAUGGCAUUGAAUUUCAUAAUCUGUAACACUCCAUAUAUGUAGUCCAUGUUAUGCAUUUUAUUAGUCUCAGUGGCUUACACUGCAAAGGUCAGCUGCAAGGAGAAGAUGUACAAAGGCUGUUUUGUGGAACAGGGGAGACAUCCUUGGGACAAGCUGUAACUGCAUACCUACGCCUUGCUGGGACACCACAGCUCAUCCCCAGCUAGUUUCAUUUCAGGAAUGAUGAAAGCUGGAUUACAAAGCAUUUGCUAAAGGAGGCUUUCUGGACAGCACAUAUCACUAGAGAACAAGUCUGGGGUUUGUCAAGCCCCAAAUGAACGACCCAUUACCACCGCAGUAACAGGGAGGUCUGAACGUGUACAAGUGACAACUGGGAGCAAUUGAAGUGUGAAGGGGAAGGAGGAUGGGCUGCAGCUCCAGGUGGGUUUCUGGGUAGUCCCAUGUGAUCUCCAGGAACAACAGGCAGGUGCUUCCUAGAAUGUGCAAUUCCCAGAAAUACUGUCCAUAAAACCAGGGCUUAAGGGCUCCUUUAUAAGCUUGCUUGAUGCUACAAAUUGUUGUGGAUCAUGUGCUUCAGUGCUGGGAGAAGUGUCUGCCGACAGUAGUUACCUAGCGUCUUGCUGGUAAGAGGCAGGGUGGUCGUGGAGCAUAUCAAGCUUCAGAAAACCUCACACUGACACUGAAAAUAAGAGAAAGCCAUGGCUGCUGGUGGCAGUAGAUGCUGGGCAACUGAGCAUGUUGGCAGGUUUCCCUCACUGUGUGACAGGGACUAGCCUGGCCCGCGGAGCUAGUGUUAGUAGCCUCGGGGAGGCUUAGCAGUGCUUUAGAGCUGCCAGCUCCUCGUGCAUGAGCACAAGUUCAGGAAAGGGCCUUGAAAUCCUGGUGGCUCCAGCUGGGUCCUGUUCAGUCGGAAUUUACAGCUCUUGGCAGACUUGGGUGACAUGCCAUUUCCUUAGUGCUUUACCUGUUGGCUUUAAAAAUUAGAAGGAGUGUGAGGUAGUGUAUGUCUUGCUGAAAAUGAGGAGUUGAUUUUUCCUUUCCAUGUAAAGAUAUUGUUUUCUACAUUUCGGAAACAGACCCAUAGUCUUCAGGCUCUUUAACCAUAAAACAUUUUCCUAAACUAAAGCUUCAUGGAAAGUGAAGUUUUGUAAAUGAUGCAGAAGUGAAGUAAUGAUUUUUAUCAUUCCAGAUGCGUGACUGCUCUGACUUCCUUUUUCUUUCCCUUUUCAGGUGAAAGGAAAUGUAUCAACAGCUGAUACCGAGAGAGGUUGAUCUUUUGGGUGGAAAGAUUCGCAAAACUUGUUCAACUCUUCUAAGAUCGAUGAGAGAUUUGCUGGCUCAGAUGAUACAGGAACUUUUGUCAGGAAGAAAGAGGCUGAGAUGCCCUCACCAGCAUUUUGCUGUUGUUGUCUAUCUCCACAGAGUGCUGUUGGCAGGCUGCAUAACAAGCAAUUAGGUUAUGAAUAAAGUAUAUAUUAAAAAAGAAGGCUGCGCUCAAAGUUAAAAGAAUUUCAGAGAAGACAAAAAGAAGUUAUUACAAUGAGGAAAAAGCGAACAGUUCCAGAAAAUCAAGGUCAAUAUUCCUGAAGGGCACCGUAAAUUAAAUCAACAGUUGCAUUAUUUGAACAGGGAGAUGCUGUCUGCAGUAUGUGGGUUUCCACCAUCAACACCCCAUCUUUUGUCUUGGCUCCAAGGGCUGAACUCCUGCAAAGUGGCUUCUGCAUUUCAGGAAUGUGACUCCUGUCCUUGACCUCAUCUGUAGAUAAAUACUUCCUCUCCCUUACUGCUGAGUGGUUUAGGAAGAAUUUCAGCCAGAUAGAGGUGAGAUAAAGGAAGGACAGGUGAGGAUGUUUUUCGUCCUCCCUUUUGGAACCAGACUCUUGGCUUUACCUACAUUACCUUGGGCUGGGCAGGUGUGCCCAGUGCCUCUGGGGUGGUGCAGUGAAGCCGUUCACCUUCCCCUAAAAAAGUUUUAGCCAGCAGUUAGCAGAGGGAACACUCAAAACAUUUUUCCCUCCAGCAGGGAAUGGCUGUUGGUGUCAUCAGCUGGUGUGAAAAGAUAGCUGAGUGCAGUUGUUCCAGCAAAAAAUAAGAAACAAAGGAAGAAGGGAGGACUGAAAAACUGGCUCCAUUGCUGCAUACAUUUUGUGAUGUGGUGAAACAAAGGAAAAGAGCCAUCAGGCUAGUAUGCUGCAACAGAACCUAGGAGCAUCACUUAUUGCAGAAGUGAAUUUUAAGGCACUGCAAAUCAGUCAGUGACACAUUCAGGACCAGCAGGAUGGUGCUCUGCUCAGAUCUGUGGAAGUCUGUGCAAAUUCUCCACUACCUUUAUUAAGGCAGGAUCAAACUUCUGAUGGGAUCUAGAAAGAUAAGGAAGUUUAAGAUCUAGCAAGCACAGCCCAUUGCCUCAAAAAGCUGAAUGCUCUUGCAAAUUUGAUAUAAUCCAAUUAGUCAAUUUUCUCGGUGACAUUUCUGCAGGCUCAUGUACAGAAGGACAGGGAAACAGAUUUAUUAUGAUAGCUAUUUCUAGCAAAGGUCAUUUCUUUCCUAGUGAACAACCUGUCCUUAGUCAUUCUGAUGAAAAGGUGUUGAAGGAGAAGGGAGAGGCUGUAUAGCUUUAAAGAUUAACAGGGAAUAACAUAAGCAGAGCAUAGCUAAUCUUUCUAUGUGGACCAGGAGGUUUGAAAUCAGGAUGAAGUCAGGGAAUGAGAAUCAAAAUUGUGGGAAAAAUAAUAAACGAGAUUUUUGUACAGUUUGUGAAGGAGGCUGGAUAUCCCAGUGUCAGCAGAAGGAAAGGAAAAGGGAACCACAGAGCACGAGCAUGUAUUUUUGGAUAGCAAGCAUGUCCUUGGUGGGACCAGCUGCUUCUAAGAACCAGGUCAGGUUGCUCUGGGGACUCCCUGAUCAUCCCCACCAGCUUCCCAGCCUGAACAGCUCUCAGCAUCCUGCUCUCAGCCAUUGCCAGGUGACGAUGAUGAGGGCAUGCAAAAAUAUACACAAAUACACUUCCUCAGCUUCCUUUAGGCGAGGAAAACAACAGUUAUGACAGGAAUAUUGUUCACAGAGGUUUCAUUGUAUUAUUAUUAUGUACCUUUUAAUAAUAAAAAGGCAUCUACCUAUUC